AAGACUAUAGACCUGCGGAGUACCUGCGGAGGGAUCAUUAACACUAAUUCAGGCCCGAAGGGUUCGCCCUUUGGGACUGGAUGGAUCCUUAUCCAUUUAAACCCCUGUGAAUAGUUAAAGUCUUUCCGAAGUGAACUACAAAUAUGUCUACUUCGAACAGUCUGACUAAAAAGGCCUUGCCUCUGGUUUGGCCGAAUGUAACCAAAUACAACUUUUAACAAUGGAUCUCUAGAUCGGAAG
rnacentral:misc_RNA from 1 species